rnacentral:rRNA from 1 species
UACGUAGGUGACCAGCGUUGUCCGGAUUUACUGGGCGUAAAGAGCGCGCAGGCGGUCGUUCAAGUCGCGUGUGAAAGCCCCCGGCUCAACUGGGGAGGGUCACGCGAUACUGAUCGACUCGAAGGCAGGAGAGGGUAGUGGAAUUCCCGGUGUAGUGGUGAAAUGCGUAGAUAUCGGGAGGAACACCAGUGGCGAAGGCGGCUCACUGGACCGGAACUGACGCUGAGGCGCGAAAGCGUGGGGAGCAAACAGG